rnacentral:rRNA from 1 species
GCGGUUUGGGAUCAUUAUGCCAGCAUCCUUGAUAAAAUCGCAGUCCUCGGUCUAGGCAGGCAGCAUCAACGCAGGCUAUAACACUUCACCGAAGCAAAGUCACAUUCCUACGCCAUUAUCCUACCGCCCAAACCGAUGCUGGCCCGAUAAGCUGCGGGUCACCCCGCCACGAAGGCAAGGCUCACAAAAUAUCGAGUCUGAUCUCAAACCCUUCCCUUUCAACAAUUUCACGUACUUUUUCACUCUCUUUUCAAAGUUCUUUUCAUCUUUCCAUCACUGUACUUGUUCGCUAUCGGUCUCUCGCCAAUAUUUAGCUUUAGAUGGAAUUUACCACCCACUUAGAGCUGCAUUCCCAAACAACUCGACUCUUGGAAAGCACCUUACAUAGGAUUGGGCAUCUCAUCGCACGGGAUUCUCACCCUCUGUGACGUCCUGUUCCAAGAAACAUAGACAAGAGCCAACCCCAAGGUUACAAUCUUCAAAUUACAACUCGGACACCGAAGGUGCCAGAUUUCAAAUUUGAGCUUUUGCCGCUUCACUCGCCGCUACUAAGGCAAUCCCUGUUGGUUU